UCCCAAACCCAAUGUGAACGUUACCAAACUGUUGCCUCGGCGGGAUCUCUGCCCCGGGUGCGUCGCAGCCCCGGACCAAGGCGCCCGCCGGAGGACCAACCAAAACUCUUAUUGUAUACCCCCUCGCGGGUUUUUUUAUAAUCUGAGCCUUCUCGGCGCCCCUCGUGGGCGUUUCGAAAAUGAAUCAAAACUUUCAACAACGGAUCUCUUGGUUCUGGCAUCGAUGAAGAACGCAGCGAAAUGCGAUAAGUAAUGUGAAUUGCAGAAUUCAGUGAAUCAUCGAAUCUUUGAACGCACAUUGCGCCCGCCAGUAUUCUGGCGGGCAUGCCUGUCCGAGCGUCAUUUCAACCCUCGAACCCCUCCGGGGGGUCGGCGUUGGGGAUCGGCCCUCCCUCUGCGGGGGCCGUCUCCGAAAUACAGUGGCGGUCUCGCCGCAGCCUCUCCUGCGCAGUAGUUUGCACACUCGCACCGGGAGCGCGGCGCGUCCACAGCCGUUAAACACCCCAACUUUCUGAAAUGUUGACCUCGGAUCAGGUAGGAAUACCCGCUGAACUUAAGCAUAUCAAUAAGCGGAGGA
rnacentral:rRNA from 1 species